UACAGAGGUCCCAAGCGUUGUUCGGAUUCACUGGGCGUAAAGGGUGCGUAGGCGGUCGGGUAAGUCUGAUGUGAAAUCUCACAGCUUAACUGUGAAACUGCAUUGGAUACUAUCCGGCUAGAGGAAUGGAGGGGAGACUGGAAUACUUGGUGUAGCAGUGAAAUGCGUAGAUAUCAAGUGGAACACCAGUGGCGAAGGCGAGUCUCUGGACAGUUCCUGACGCUGAGGCACGAAAGCCAGGGGAGCAAACGGG
rnacentral:rRNA from 1 species